AUAAUGAGUUGCUCUUCCCAAAUGGCAUUUUUCUUUACUUACAAAUCAAACAAACGAUAUAUACCCUACACAAACGUAAAUCAGAAGCCCCAAAUCAAAAAUUCUUCCCCAAUCACAAACCCUAGAUCGUUAAUUGAUCUACCAAAAUUUGAUUCAAAACCGCGAAGGGAAUCACCAAAUUGAGAACGUAGACAAAAUCACACAAGCCCAGCUGCUUCCGCCCAUGGUGAAGGUAAUCCAUGAUUCAACGAUACGAAAUCGUACCUUGAAUAUCCUUUUUUCUUCGAAGAAUAUAUAUUUCGUACCCUUGAAUUAACAGAAGGAAUUUAUUUCGAAUGUUGUGGUUGCACAAAAUCAAAGAAAAUAAUUUAAAUACAAGUUAUUUAAUUUAUGGAUUUUAUAUUUUGAUAGUUUGUUUUUGGUGAAUUCUUCAAUCACCCACAUGGGAUUCAUAUCCGUUUUUCGUUUUGUGCUUUCAUUUUCAAAUUUGUUUCUUGUAGUCAUAGCACAUGCUUUCUAUGGAAAGUGAACUUAAUUUUAUGUUCAUUUUGUAAGUGGUAAUCGCACAAUCAAUUCAAUAUUUCUUGCAAUGCUCUAAUUAUGGAUGAAGGUAAUCAUUUAACCGUUGCAUAUUCAUUUGGCCUAGGAUUUUUGGUAGAGGAAGCUGAAUUAGAAAAAUGUUGUGUUAGUAUUGCAGUCAUUUCAUGUGGAAACCGGAAGGUGAUUCGAGUUGUGGUUGUUCAGGUACAUGUAAGGCUAAACAUCCCGAGCGAGAUCUGUCGUGCAUGUUUGAGCAAUGGGCUACCAUCAUAGAGAAAAAAGACGUUGAGAUCUCCAUUAAUAUCACUAUCCAGAAGGGAAAAGGAGUGACGGAAAAGGGAAUGGUUCCGUGAAUUAUUUCCGCCAAUGUGACGAGGCAAAGACUUUUGUUGGAGUUAUCACAUCCCAUUUUUUUUGUAAUCAGCACUAAACUUGUCGUAAAUUAUGUUUUUUGUACGUCAACGUCGUUUUAGUAGUUCACUUUGUUUUCCAACUCUUGUUGUAUGUCGAUGGCGUAAACUUGUCGAUGUGGUUUAUUUGAAUGCAUAAACAAUAUCUAUUGUGUUUGGUUUUUAUGAUUUGA
rnacentral:lncRNA from 1 species